ACCAGUGGCAAUAGCACGAUACACCAGUUUCCGAUGGAUCAUUGAAGUUAAUCAACGUAGUAGUUGAUUAGUAUUCCGAUGGGUGACCUUCUGGAAGUGUUGUUCUGCUGGCU
rnacentral:rRNA from 1 species